GAUGAAGAACGUAGCAAAAUGCGAUACUUGGUGUGAAUUGCAGAAUCCCGUGAACCAUCGAGUUUUUGAACGCAAGUUGCGCCCGAAGCCUUUUGGCCGAGGGCACGUCUGCCUGGGCGUCACGCAUCGCGUCGCCCCCCACAAUUCUCCGUAAAGGGAACAUGUGUUUUGGGGGCGGAUAUUGGUCUCCCGUGCUCAUGGCGUGGUUGGCCGAAAUAGGAGUCCUUUCGAUGGACGCACGAACUAGUGGUGGUCGUAAAAACCCUCGUCUUUUGUUUCGUGCUGUUGGUCGCAAGGUAAACUCUUUAAAAACCCCAAUGUGUCGUCUCUUGACGACGCUUCGACCGCGACCCCAGGUCAGGCGGGACUACCCGCUGAGUUUAAGCAUAUCAAUAGCGGAGGA
rnacentral:misc_RNA from 1 species